GUUAUCACACUCGUGACGCCACCAAACACUGGGAGGCUGAUUCAUUUGAGAGGAGCUGACCACAGGCCAGCAAAACCCCCAAGGUCCAAGCUCAUCACGGCAAACCAUGAGAGUUGAGGUGUUCAUGAUACUCAAACAGGCAUGCCCCUCGGAAUAGCCAAGGGGCGCAAGGUGCGUUCAAAGAUUCGAUGAUUCACUGAAUUCUGCAAUUCACAUUACUUAUCGCAUUUCGCUGCGUUCUUCAUCGAUGCGAGAGCCAAGAGAUCCGUUGCUGAAAGUUGUAUUGUAUUGCGUUAGACGCGGCAUACAUUCCAUAAGACUUUAUUACAGUGUGUGUGUAAAGACAUAGAACCACGGAAGGAAGACGGGGUCCCCCAUACCGUAGAACUACAGAGGGUGCACAGGUGUGAGUGGAUGUGUAAACAGAGCGUGCACAUGUCCCCAUUUGAGGACCAGCAACAGCCCGUUUGACAAUUCAGUAAUGAUCCUUCC
rnacentral:misc_RNA from 1 species